UAACGCGUGAAGUUGACCGCCUGGGGAGUACGGCCGCAAGGUUAAAACUCAAAGGAAUUGACGGGGACCCGCACAAGCGGUGGAUGAUGUGGAUUAAUUCGAUGCAACGCGAAAAACCUUACCUACCCUUGACAUGUCCAGAAGCCUGAAGAGAUUUGGGUGUGCCCGAAAGGGAACUGGAACACAGGUGCUGCAUGGCUGUCGUCAGCUCGUGUCGUGAGAUGUUGGGUUAAGUCCCGCAACGAGCGCAACCCUUGUCGUUAAUUGCCAUCAUUUAGUUGGGCACUUUAACGAGACUGCCGGUGACAAACCGGAGGAAGGUGGGGAUGACGUCAAGUCCUCAUGGCCCUUAUGGGUAGGGCUUCACACGUCAUACAAUGGUCGGUACAGAGGGUUGCCAAACCGCGAGGUGGAGCCAAUCCCAGAAAGCCGAUCGUAGUCCGGAUUGGAGGCUGCAACUCGCCUCCAUGAAGUCGGAAUCGCUAGUAAUCGCGGAUCAGCAUGUCGCGGUGAAUACGUUCCCGGGUCUUGUACGCACCGCCCGUCACACCAUGGGAGUGGGUUCUGCCAGAAGUAGGUAGCCUAACCGCAAGGGGGGCGCUUACCACGGCAGGGUUCAUGACUGGGGUGAAGUCGUAACAAGGUAGCCGUAGGGGAACCUGCGGCUGGAUCAC
rnacentral:rRNA from 1 species